rnacentral:lncRNA from 1 species
GUGGAACUACCUCGAACGCCGCCUCUCCCCCGACCCGCAUCCCGAAACCCCGGCCUCUCGCCCCAUCCCCAUCCCUCGAACCCCCAUCACCCCCUCUUCCUCCUCCGCCCACCCCUAUCCGCGCCCUCUCAGCCGCGGCACCCCUCGCCCCGCCUCCGCAUCCAAGCUCAAAACCUCCCUCUCCACCUCCUCGCGCCGCUCGGACCACCACCCCUCCUCCGCCGGCCUCCGGGACGACGAUAGCCUCACCAGCUGCCCGGCCUACACGCUGCCCAACUACAUGACC